rnacentral:rRNA from 1 species
UGAGACAUAUCAUACCACCCAGAAAGUGCCUGAUCACUUCUGAUCUCAGAAGCUAAGCAGGGUUGGGGCCUGGUUAGUACUUGGAUGGGAAACAUAACAAUAAAGUCAGGAUUUAUUUUAA